AUUGAACGCUGGCGGCAGGCCUAACACAUGCAAGUCGAACGGUAACAGGAAGACGCUUGCUUCUUUGCUGACGAGUGGCGGACGGGUGAGUAAUGUCUGGGAAACUGCCUGCUGGAGGGGGAUAACUACUGGAAACGGUAGCUAAUACCGCAUAAUGUCGCAAGACCAAAGAGGGGGACCUUCGGGCCCCUUGCCAUCGGAUGUGCCCAGAUGGGAUUAGCUAGUAGGUGGGGUAACGGCUCACCUAGGCGACGAUCCUUAGCUGGUCUGAGAGGAUGACCAGCCACACUGGAACUGAGACACGGUCCAGACUCCUACGGGAGGCAGCAGUGGGGAAUAUUGCACAAUGGGCGCAAGCCUGAUGCAGCCAUGCCGCGUGUAUGAAGAAGGCCUUCGGGUUGUAAAGUACUUUCAGCGGGGAGGAAGGGAGUAAAGUUAAUACCUUUGCUCAUUGACGUUACCCGCAGAAGAAGCACCGGCUAACUCCGUG
rnacentral:rRNA from 1 species